GGGCGUUUAGCUCAGUUGGUAGAGCAGCUGACUCUUAAUCAGUAGGUCCAGGGUUCGAGUCCCCGAACGCCCACCA
rnacentral:tRNA from 1 species